CUUACACCUGAAAGAUAUCCGCUAACCACAGAUCGUCUUGAUGCCAGACUCUAGCCCAAUCUACAUGACCUGGAAUAACAAAGCUACUCCAUGCACCCAACUAAAGCAUUCUCUAGUCCUAGUAUAGGCGAUAGAAAAGACACCAUUGGAGCGAUAGAGACCACGUACCGUAAGGGAAAGAUGAAAUAGUAAUGAAAAAAGCCAAGCUAUAAACAGCAAAGAUCAGCCCUUGUACCUUUUGCAUCAUGGUCUAGCAAGAAAAACCAAGCAAAAUGAAUUUAAGUUUGCCACCCCGAAACCCAAGCGAGCUACUUAUGAGCAGCUAUUGUUGAGCGAACCCGUCUCUGUGGCAAAAGAGUGGGAUGACUUGUUAGUAGCGGUGAAAAGCCAACCGAGCUGGGUGAUAGCUGGUUGCCUGUGAAACGAAUCUAAGUUCACUCUUAAUUCUUCUCCAAGGAAAACCAACAAACCCCAAUGAAGCGAAUUAAGGGCAAUUUAAAGGAGGGACAGCUCCUUUAAAAAAGAAUACAAUCUCUACGAGCGGAUAAGUAUUUUAACCAAAACCCUACUGUGGGCCCUCAAGCAGCCAUCAACAAAGAGUGCGUUAAAGCUCAGUACCCUAAAAAUAUAAGAACCUUACGACUCCCUCCCCAUUAACAGGCCAACCUAUAUCUAAAUAGGAGAAUUAAUGCUAGAAUGAGUAACCAGGGUCCUCCCUCUACGACGCAAGCUUACAUCAGUACAUUAUUAACAAACCACCCAUAUACGACAAAUCAAACAAGCAGAGUAUUAUACAUCUUGUUAACCCGACAGAGGAGCGUCC
rnacentral:rRNA from 1 species